rnacentral:ncRNA from 1 species
UAUUAAAAAAGCGCCAGGACUUAUUUUUAUAAGUUGACGAGGUUGGGGAGUUAUCGAGUACUUCGGCGGGUGCCCCACGGUAUCACACUACCGUAAACAGCUGGUAAACCUAUAAAGUGAUUUAUAGUACAAAUUCAG